UCCCUUUCCUUCCUUUCUUUUUGGUUUAGAGAAGCCCUUUCAAUAUUUCCUUUAACCUGGGUUUUGUGUUGCUGUAUUCUUUAAGUUUUUGUUUGUUGGGAAAAAUUUUUAUUUCCCCUUCUAUUUUAAAUGAUAUUCUUGCUGGAUAGAGUAUUCUAGGUUGCAUAUUUUUUCCUUUGAGCACUUUAAAUAUCUCUUGCCAUUCCCUCCUGGCCUGUAGUGUUUCUGUAGAGAAAUCAGCUGAUAUUCUUAUGGGGGUUCCCUUGUAGGUAACAUUCUGUUUUUCUCUUGCUGCCUUUAGGAUCCUCUCUUUAUCACUAACUUUUGCCAUUUUUAUUAUGAUGUGUCUUGGUGUGGGUCUGUUUGGGUUCAGUUUGUUUGGGGCCCUCUGUGCUUCUUGUAUCUUGAAUCCAGUAUCCUUUAGAUUUGGGAAGUUUCCAGCGAUAAUUUCUUCAAAUAUAUUUUCCAUUCCCUUAUCUUUUUCUACUCCUUCUGGAAUUCCUAUUAUGCGUAGAUUGGCCCGCUUUAUAUUAUCCCAUAGGUCUCUUAUAUUGCUUUCCAGUUUUUUGAUUCGGUUUUCUGUCUGUUGACCAGAUUGAGUGAUUUCCAUUAUUCUAUCUUCCAUAUCACUGAUUCGUUCUUCUGCAUUAUUCAUUCUGGUUUUUACUGCCCCUAGUUCAGUUUGCAUCUCUGCAAAUGAAUGUUCUAGUUUUUCUUGGCUCCUCCUUAUAUUUUCUAGUUCCUUUCUGAGGGUAUCUGCAUUACUGUUCAUAUCUUCUCUUAAUUCCUUCAGUAUUUUCACUAUUUCUCUUUUGAACUCCAGGUCUGUCAGACUGCAGAGAUCUGUUUCAUUGUUGACUGUUUUAGGUGAGUUCUCCUGUUGGUUUGACUGGGGGUGGUUUCUCAGCUUCUUCAUCUUGCUUGUUGUUUUCUUUCUCCUGAGGGAGUUGUACUCUCCGUUAUCGGGCAGUGUUUGCCUUGUCACUGCCGUGGAAUAUUUCCUGAGGGCUGGCGUUGUUGGUCAAUCUUUUUUGAGGCAGUGUGGCUUUUCUGGAGUGUUGAUGGGGCUAACAGUGUUUCUUUGAAGCAAAGGAGGACUUCCUGAGGGCAGACAGGACUGGGAGGUCCACACCACGAUGGUAGCAGAUUUCACUUGGUCAUGCAGAGCUUGCUCUGGUGUUUUUAGGCUGUGGGGUUCUUGCAGGGGGUUGGCGGUGUUGGGCAGCUGCUCCUCAGGAGUGCAGCACCCCCUGGGGGCUGGAGCAGCUAUCUGGGUCACUGAGAACCUAAGAGGCUCUUCCCUAGGGCAGCCCAACUCAGAAGGACAGCCUGAGAAUGUAGGCCGAUCUAUUCACAGCCUGGCUAAGCUUGUUCUAGCUUUUCUGGGCUGCAGGCCUUUUCUCGGGGGCUGGUGGUGUUUGGUGCUGCUCUGCGGAAGUGUAGCCCCUCCAAAGGGCAAGCAGGCCUGUGCAGGGACAGCCCCUGCGGUGGUAGGCUUCAGGCAAUUGUUGAGGCCAGCCCUCCUGGAUGGCAGGCAGCCCCAGGUCCG
rnacentral:lncRNA from 1 species